GGCCGGGGCCGGGGCCGGGGCCGGGCCCAGGGGGAGCCGCUGGGCCGCGGGGAGCGGCGCCGCACGGCGGGGCGGAGCGGGGCGGGCAGGCAGCGGCACCGGCCGUGUCAGACCCGCCCGGGCUGUCCCGGAGUGUCUGCGCCUUCAGUGCGGGAGAGAAAGAUCGUUCGGGAGCCGUUUCAGCUCAGACUGGCCUGAGUUGGAAGGACCCACAAGGGUCAUUAGUCCAACUGCUGUCCCCGCACAGGACACCCCACAGGUCACCCGUGUGUCUGAGGGCGUUGUCCGGUCUCUUGUUGAACACUGUCAGGUUGGGGCCGUGACACCUCCCUGGGGAGCCUGUUCAGUGUCCAGCACCUCUGGGGGAAGAACCUUUUCCUCAUGUCCAGCCUAAACCUCUCCUGGCACAUCUUCUGCCAUUCCCUGGGUUCUGUCACUGGUUGCCAGAGAGAUCAGCGCCUGCCCUUCCUCCUCCCCUUGUGAGGAAGCUGUAGACGUGAUGAGGUCUCCUCUUAGUCUUCUCUUCUCCAGGCUGAACAAACCAAGUGACUUUAACUGCUCCUCAUAUGGCUUCUUCUCCAAACCCUUCACCAACCUCUUCUGGACACCCUCCAGUAGCUUUAGAUCCUUUUUAUGCUGUGGCGCCCAGAACUGCCCCCAGAAACCCCAGAUCCCUCUGCAGAGCUGCUCUCCAGCACCUCGUGCCCCAGUCUGUAUGUACAGCCAGGACUGCUGGCACUGAGAUGGAUGCUUGUGGAACCCACUCGUGACUGGUGUCCAACGCAACGUGGCCCCAUUGACUAGAACGCUUUGAGCCCGGCCCGUCAGCCAAUUGCUCACCCACUGCACUGUGUGUUUAUCCGGCUGUGUGCUGGACAUCUUGUCCAGGAGAAUGCUGCGAGAGACACUAUCAAAGCUUUACCGGCAUCCAGAAACGAUUUAUUUAUUCACGGUCUUCUUGGCUCUGUUGUCAAAACAGAUAUACAGAAAUUUUUCUACGUUACUGACUAGAACAAAUCUAGAUGCUCUUUCAGCAACAUGUUCAGAAACAGGCUGCCUGCUCUGUGGGCAUCGCGGAGCACGGGCCAAAUGCUGCCGCCGAGAGCCCUCCCCCUUAGGCAGGACGGCUGCCGGAGGGAAUCUCCCGGGACCGGGAUUCCCUCAUCUCCCCGUGUGGGUGAGUGAAAUAAUUCCUCGCAGGAUCGCGGGUCUCUGCUUAUUUUUCCUCACUUAGACAAAGUGAGUGUGUUCUGUGCUUAAAUAUAAGCACAUGUAUUUUCUUUAGCAAUUCCUUGCCAGAUUCAGGCAAGUGUGUACUUUUCCCGGAGUCAGGGGGGGCUCUGGCGUUGUAUUUGGUGAGCCACGUGUGUGCACACUGUGGAUCCCCAUUGUUAUUAUUUGCUGCACCCCAAUAAUUUCCUCAACUGAUACGCAAACCUGCAUUCAUGUUCUUGGAGAGCUAAAACCCCGUUCUUUACCGGUUAAUCUGCUGCACCUUUUUGACCAGAAUAAAAGUUUGUUUUGGA